rnacentral:rRNA from 1 species
CAAUUUUCAGAGAGAUUCAGAGGACGUGAAACCGGUAAGGUGGAAACGGAUAGAGUCGGCGUAUCAUUCGUUAUUCACUUACAUUAUUUUUAUGUUGUGACCUCUGACCUCCAGAUUGGGACUGAGGGAAUGUGGCAAUUUGUUGUGGUGCAUUUACUUGAUUGGUGCUUGGGGAUGUUUGAGGCGGAUUUGUUUCCGUCCUUUUGAGGCCGACUUGCUGGUACCCGAACGGGGUUACCAUUUUUUGUCUUGUACGGUUGACUAUGGCUCAAGAGUAUUUAAUGGACUGAUCUGAGUGUAAGUUACGGUCGGGUGCGACCCUGCUUUUCAAUUGCUUCGGUCCCUUAAUGCUCUCGUACUCCUUCCCCAUGUAAAAGCCGGUCAUCUAUCCGACCCGUCUUGAAACACGGACCAAGGAGUUUAUCGUGUGCGCAAGUUUUUGGGUGUUAAAAACCUAAAAGCGAAAUGAAAGUAAAUGACUCUUUAGAGUCUGAUGUGCGAUCUUGUAAAAAAGUGUAGCAUGGCCCCAUUCUAACUGUUUACAGUAGGGUGGCGGAAGAGCGUACGCGGUGAGACCCGAAAGAUGGUGAACUAUUCCUGAGCAGGACGAAGCCAGAGGAAACUCUGGUGGAAGUCCGAAGCGGUUCUGACGUGCACAUCGAUCGUCUGACUUCGUAUAGGGCGAAAAACUAAUCGAACCAUCUAGUACUGUUUCUUUCCAAAAAAAACGCUGUACAGGUAACACAA